UUGAAAUUGUUGUUAACGUCAAAAUUUUGAGUCAAAAUGAGUUUGGACGAUCUAUGCCUGCAUUGCUUCCAGCAUCCCCCUUUCUGCUUUCUACUAUGGUACGUCGGCGCAAUAGCUAUUUAUUUAGCGUCUGGACCAACUGCAGAUGAUUGACGAAAACACCGAUCAAUUACCCUGUAGAUAUAAUAACUAAAUGGCCAGAUAUUUCCAUUCCAAAAUACAGUAACCUUCUAUGUGCGAUAUAAAAAAUAAAAAUUUGUUGUGUACAUAAUUAUGCAAUUUUGUCCAUAUAUAGAAUUCGAAAGAU